rnacentral:lncRNA from 1 species
CAAUUUUCUUUUUGCUACUGCCUAUCCCAGUCAUUUUAAAGAUAGCUCUGGUUUGUGCAGUGCAAUCACAGUAACCACAGUAUCACAGGGCGGGAAACAGUCUUCGGCACAAGCAAUAUUGUGCCCUUUCAUUAUAGAUGGGACAUUCUGUCCAGUAACAUAUAAAGUAUAGAGACACUGCUAUUCAGUUCUUUGGAUUGUCUGCAUGGUGGGUGUUUGCCUAUUACUUUUGGCUAGUCAGGCUCUUUUUCAUGCUCUCCCUUUCCUAAAAAGGCCAUCCUCCUUGUAGAACAUGCAAUUUUUGGAGCAAUAGUCAGCUGUGCAAGACUGACUGUUGAGAUAACCCAAACAGGAUAUUUUCAUCUGUCAAACAGCUGUCAGCAAUUGUCUAAAUGGGUCUUGAACAGAAAUACAAAAAAUGUGCUGCUCUCCACCAUAUAGACACUUCUUGAAGAACAAUGCUGCCUUUUAGGAUACAUUUGACAGAAGGGAUCAAACCCCAAGAGACUAUUAUGACUGUGAUGCAUCUCCUCCUCUACUACACUCAGUAAGUUUCAAUUUUCUCAUCUGUUUGGAUGAUAGGUCCUAUUAUUCUUUGAUUUUAAGCUGUAUUCUCCUUUGCAAUCUCAUGUCUAUCAUAGAAUCACAGAAUCAUUAAGGUUGGAAAAGACCUCUAAGAUCAUCCAGUCCAACCUCAACCCAUCCUCACCAUGCCCACUGACCACAUCCUUCAGUGCAACAUCUACAAUGCUUCUUGAACAUCUUUGGGGACUGUGAAUCCACCAACCCCCCAGGCAGCCUGUUCCAGUGCUAUGUUAUGUA